rnacentral:misc_RNA from 1 species
CUGGUCCAUCCAGAUCCACAGUCGCCAUCGCCCCCACCUCUCGUCGUCGUCUCCGUGCACCACUCGGCCCCCACUGCCGGCCGCGCCUCCCAGCCACCUCGUGCUGCUCUGCCACCCCGCCCAUCCUCCACUGCCCCUAUGGCUGCCACGGGCGAGCGCUGCCCGAGCAGCCGACCGCCCUUUCCCCGCCGUCUUCAGCUGCCGCGCGCUGCCCCGCCUCCCCGCCAGGCCUCCACUGCCCACUUCUCCAGCGGCUACAGUGGAAGGAAAGGAGAAGGACACCGGGCAGCGGUAGCUGGAUCUGGCAAGCACAGGGCCGCACCACCGGUGGCGCCUGGAUCCGCGUUGCUUGCAACCGCCCACCCCCAGCAGACCUAA